GUGGUGGUGGUGGUGUGUGGGGAGGAGGUGAUGACCCUUGGCGGCCAAGGCAAGGUCAUGAGGAAAACAACUGGGAGAAAGCGGUUACACCUAGUCCGAGGUAAAGUUCAGUGGGUGUUUUCCGUUAGAGUUGUCCCGUUUUAAUGACCAACAGAUACUAUCCCUAUCUGGCACAACAGUGAAUUCUGCGGAUUCAUGUUUUUGCAUAUAUUACUAACUCUGUAGUAGAGCCCUUCCCAGCAUUUCACAGAGUCCCUAGGUUCAAUCCUCAAUACUGGAAAAACAAAGCAACAGCAACAAAAUGUUCUCCCUAAGGGUCAGAUGUGGUGUCACAGGCCCUUAAUUCACGAUUUGGAAGGCAGAGGCAGAUGGACGUGUGUGCGUUCAAGGCUAACCCAGUCUACAGAGUGAAUUCCGGAACCAGAAACCCAGAACCAGGGGUAGAGAACAGCAACCUGGAAGCCGCAUAUGCCUCCAUGUGACAAAGAGCCGCCCGAGGGGUUGCAGCGUUUGGCAACUGCUUGCACUCUUAAGCACUGUGCUGCAAGGGGGAUUUAAAAACGACUCAGAAAAGAGCAAACCAGCAAUAGAAGCCCUAACUAGGACAAAUUGGUUCUAGUGUAGUGGAGUAUUGCUGUGAGAGACCUGACCAUGUUUUUGGGAGGAUGUGGAAGGACUAUCAAACUUUGGGCUAGAAGAGCCAUUGAGUGUUAAGAACUCUGUGGGAUCUCUGGUGGGAACGUGGAGUAUUGAGAGCCAUGCAGAAGAUGGAGGCCUGUCUUGUGAGAUCUCAGAGGGAAGUUUAAAGACUCUAUUGGAGCCAUUUGUUAUUUUGAAUUAAGAUCCUGUGGUUCUGUCAGUGGGGGCUGAAGAAUCAGCUGUGAUUAACAAGAUACCAGAACUACUAAAGUAAACCUUUGCUUUAUUGGGAUACUCGAUGCUGGUCGGCUGGAGCAGAAAUCAGUGGUGAUUAAGAAGAGACAAGCGUCCCUGAGGUGGAAUCUUUUGGGAAAUGUUACCUGAGAGCACAGAAAAGCUGUGAUCCGGAGGUGGCCAAGGUUGUACCUCGUGCUGGCAGCUGGACUUGGUGAUGUGUAAAUGUCACCCAGGUGGUACUGAUUUUGAAGGCAUGAGGUGUCAUGGAGCGCAGCUGGGGCUUGUUAUUAUGAGAGUCCAGGAAAGGCCAUUGGUGAAGGUGCAGCCUCAGUGACAGUUGAAGGCCAGGACUGAAGGGGUCAUGCAAAGAAGUUGAGGCUUGGCACUAUGAAGAGAGCCUGUGAGAGGCUAUUGGUGAAAAUGCAGCACAGUUGCAGCAGAAGAAUCCAGCAUUUCAGAUACUAUGGGUAUGACCACCAAGAACAGCAGCAGCCAUGGAGUAGAGCCAGCCAGAUCCCAGAAGAAAAGCUUUGUGUGCUGCAGAGGGCAGAGCUGGAGAAGUGACUUCAGAAUCCCUAACUAAGACACUGAGGUUCACAAGGACAGGCGUUUUGUCUUCUGUUUACUAGUGCUGUGUGUGCUUUUUUUCUUUUUCUUCCUCUUUCCCUCUGUCUCUCCCCCCCCCCCCCCCUUUUUUCUUUUUGACAUGGUCUCACUAUGUAACACUAGCUGAUCUAAACUUGCUAGGUAGACCAGGCUGGACUCGAAAAUAUAGAUACCCUCCUGCCUCAGCCUCCCAAGUGCUAGUAUUAAAGGGAUAUGCCAUCACAUUUUACCAGUGCUAUAUUUUUACCGUAUAACAGUUCCAGGUACAGAGCUGCUCAAAACAUUUGUUAGCAUAGUGAUUUUAGUGGAAGCCCACAGAAUUUCCUGAGGAAUGGAUGAAGUAUCCACUUCACUUCCGAGUUGCUGGUACAGCUCCAAGUACUCUUGUUAACUAGAAGAGACCAUGUAUCUCAAUGGAGCUCCUUCACUGUGUUCUUUUUAAAUUGCCUUAGCCGCUCCUAAAAUAGCCUGCUCCCUCCCUGCCAAAAAGGUCUGUGGAUAAGCACUAGCAAGAAGCAGAAAGAGAGCACUAAUUCUCCCUUUCUUUUCAAGUACCUAACCUGAAGUGGCAGCUAAAUUCAACCACCAAUUCUGCAGAGAGGUCUUAUCUGUGGAUCACACUGCUGUUCCCAUAGGCUUCCAGUGAUGACUCAGAACUUAUUGCCUCCAUUCUCCCAGCACUGCCUCCAGUUCUGGCCCAGGAGGCUUUAGUGGAUCAAAUGAGAAAUGUUCCCCAGAGGUUCAUAUAUUUGAACACUUGAUCCCUGGUUGGUGAAGUGUUUGGACUGGUGGAGGGUUGUUUGAUGAAGUGCAUUUCUAGGGGUGGCUUUGAGAGGUUAUAACGCCGCUCUCUUCCAGUUUGCCUCUCUGUUCCAUGUUGGCAGUUGAUAUGUGUCAAUUUCCUGCUCUUGCUGCCUCCACCUCCAGCAGAUGGCCUCACCUGGGACUGGAGGGUCCAUAGCUACUUUGCGCAUGGUGUGUAAUGAAAAGAACCAGUACAGCAGCUAACACCACCUCUGAGGGUAAGGUAGUCUACAAUAGUAGUCACUGUGGGGACUCCUCAAGGGCAGGCAAAGGCCACUGCACAACUGCAGGGGUCACUUCCAGACAGCAAUACCCUCAGAAUCCAUUCCUCUUUUCCUUCUAAUAUUUGUUUGUUUGUUUAUUUAGAGAUGGGGGUCUCACUUUGUAGUUCUAGCUGACCU